AUGCACGCUGGCGGCGUGCCUAAUCCAUGCAAGUCGAGCGAACAGACGAGGAGCUUGCUCCUCUGACGUUAGCGGCGGACGGGUGAGUAACACGUGGAUAACCUACCUAUAAGACUGGGAUAACUUCGGGAAACCGGAGCUAAUACCGGAUAAUAUAUUGAACCGCAUGGUUCAAUAGUGAAAGACGGUUUUGCUGUCACUUAUAGAUGGAUCCGCGCCGCAUUAGCUAGUUGGUAAGGUAACGGCUUACCAAGGCAACGAUGCGUAGCCGACCUGAGAGGGUGAUCGGCCACACUGGAACUGAGACACGGUCCAGACUCCUACGGGAGGCAGCAGUAGGGAAUCUUCCGCAAUGGGCGAAAGCCUGACGGAGCAACGCCGCGUGAGUGAUGAAGGUCUUCGGAUCGUAAAACUCUGUUAUUAGGGAAGAACAAAUGUGAAAGUAACUAUGCACGUCUUGACGGUACCUAAUCAGAAAGCCACGGCUAACUACGUG
rnacentral:rRNA from 1 species